CAGAGGAAUUGCCUGAUGAGGAGCCAGGGGUUGGGCGGAGAUACGGUGGGGGGAGUGUUUCCCGGAGGGGCAAUGAAGUAAGGGCACGCAUUGUGCAAGAAUAUUUCAGCUGAUUGCUCAUUCAAAAAGUGGACCACCACAACGGCAAGCUGCUGCAGGGAGGCAAUAUCAGGCACCUUCUCAGCCCC